rnacentral:rRNA from 1 species
AAAUGAUAUAAUUUAAUUUAGUCAGUAAUAAUUAAUUAAAAAUUAGAAAUUAAAAUUUAUAAGGUGAAAUUUAGAAUUUUAAUAAAAUUAGAUUUUUAUAAUGAGGUUAGAAAAUUUAAUAAUGAAACUAGGAUUAGAUACCCUAUUAUUAUAAAUGUAAUAAAAAAUACUAAAUUAGUAUUAGUUAUGUUCUUGAAAAUUAAAAAAUUUGGCGGUAUCUUAGUCUUUUCAGAGGAACCUGUUCUGUAAUUGAUAAUCCACGAUUUAAUUUACUUUUUUUAUUAGUUUGUAUAUCGUCGUAAUUUGAAUAUUUUAUUAGGAUACUAAUAUUCAAUAUUUUAAAUUAAAAAAUAGGUCAGAUCAAGGUGCAGCAUAUAAAAAAGAAGAAAUGGGUUACAAUAAAAAUAUUUAGCGAUUAUUAUUUUUAAAAUAAUAUGAAUUUGGAUUUGAAAGUAAAUUUAAUUAAUUAAUUAAAUUGACUAAGCUCUAAGAUAUGCACACAUCGCCCG